rnacentral:rRNA from 1 species
GUCCGCACAGUAAACGAUGGAUACUCGUGGUUGGCGAUAGACAGUCAGUCACUAAGCGAAAGCGCUAAGUAUCCCACCUGGGGAGUACGCCGGCAACGGUGAAACUCAAAGGAAUUGACGGGGGCCCCGCACAAGCGGAGGAACAUGUGGUUUAAUUCGAUGAUACGCGAGGAACCUUACCCGGGCUUGAAUUGCGCAGGACGGCACCAGAGAGGGUGCUUUCUUCGGACCUGCGUGAAGGUGCUGCAUGGUUGUCGU